GUCCAGGGUUAGUAUGUGUUUCUAGAAGCCCAGUGUCUACAGUCCCAGGGUUAGUAUGUGUUCUAGAAGCCAGUGUCUAAUAGUCCAGGGUUAGUAUGUGUUCUAGAAGCCAGUGUCUACAGUCCAGGGUUAGUAUGUGUUUAGAACGCCAGUGUCUACAGUCCAGGGUUAAUAUGUGUUCUAGAAGCCAGUGUCUACAGUCCAGGGUUAGUAUGUGUUCUAGAAGCCAGUGUCUAUAGUCCAGGGUUAAUAUGUGUUCUAGAAGCCAGUGUCUA